rnacentral:lncRNA from 1 species
UGCUUCUCUGAAGCCUAGGACUCUUAACCAGUCCAGAACUUUAUUUACUGCUAGACAGGUACCUUGUGCUUUUGACUAUAAAGUUUUUGAGUUUUUCUCUAAGCUGCUUAUUUUUUUAUAUGAUAUCAUAUAGAGGUCUUAAUGUUAUUGAUCGCUGCAGAUUGAUAUUUGGAGGUUUUGCUAAAGAUAUCUCUUAUUUCUUAUGACUUUCCCUGCUAGUUUGACAUGCUUGUUGAGUAUCCAACUCUCUGAUAAAGAGAUGCUUAAAGUGUAUCUCUUAUUUCUUAAUGUUAUCAACUCUCUG